rnacentral:rRNA from 1 species
CCCAGACUCCUACGGGAGGCAGCAGUGGGGGAUAUUGCACAAUGGGGGGAACCCUGAUGCAGCGACGCCACGUGAGUGAGGAAGUAUUUCGGUAUGUAAAGCUCUAUCAGCAGGGAAGAAAAUGACGGUACCUGACUAAGAAGCCCCGGCUAACUACGUGCCAGCAGCCGCGGUAAUACGUAGGGGGCAAGCGUUAUCCGGAUUUACUGGGUGUAAAGGGAGCGUAGACGGAAUAGCAAGUCUGAUGUGAAAACCCGGGGCUCAACUCCGGGAGUGCAUUGGAAACUGUUGAUCUAGAGUGUCGGAGAGGCAAGCGGAAUUCCUAGUGUAGCGGUGAAAUGCGUAGAUAUUAGGAGGAACACCAGUGGCGAAGGCGGCUUGCCGGACGAUGACUGACGUUGAGGCUCGAAAGCGUGGGGAGCAAACAGGAUUAGAUCCCCCAGUA